GCACUGCCUUUGAACCAGGGUAUGGCCCCAUUCACGGCCUCUCUGGCUACGCUGCAGUGCAAAAGCAAGCGCUUGCUCAUAACUGGUCCUGCUCGGCGGAAACCUGAGUGGUUCUUUUAAAGGCAAGUUACAUGU